GCACAUGUGUAGCCAACUGCAUGCUAAUGAUAUUGUGGGCAACUGUAAGCAUGUAUUGCAAUGGACUUGCACUUGCCCUGGGCAGCAUGAUUUGUUUUUCAAGCAUGUGUGCUGUAGUGUGUGAUGUGUUUUGUAAACUGUUUGCAUUUCUCUAGUUGCUGCAACAAUUAUGUUUUGCAAGGAAUGUCUUAGCUCAAUAAAUGAUGAAGAAUGCAGCAAAAUGCAAUAUGCAUUGCGAAUUGCAGAAUUCCGUGAGCUAACAGAUGUUUGAAUGUUACUUGUACCUUUGGGAUAUUCUUGAAGGUUUGCUUGGUUUUAAUGCAAAGUAGCUUUCAUAUACAUUUAAUGCUGAUUAGCAUUGUUGUGAACAAUAAAGGUCAAUGUUUUGCAUUGAACCUGGAUGUCAUACAGUUGUUUACAACCUAAACAUGGUUUCGUGGGGCAGACCUGUUUCGUCAUUUGAUGGUUGAUAUUGUAAAUGUGCACAACUGGGACAAGCUGAAGACUUGCAUAUGCUAAGCGUGAAGUGAAGCACAUAA
rnacentral:rRNA from 1 species